UCAAGCGACUAAGUGUAUGUGGUGGAUGCCUUGGCGAUCACAGGCGAUGAAGGACGUGACAGCCUGCGAAAAGCUGUGGGGAGCUGGCAAAUAAGCUUUGAUCCACAGAUGUCCGAAUGAGGGAACUCACCUGCUUUGCAGGUAUCCCAUCCUGAAUAUAUAGGGAUGGGAGGCGAACGAAGCGAACUGAAACAUCUAAGUAGCUUCAGGAAAAGAAAUCAACCGAGAUUCCGAAAGUAGCGGCGAGCGAAAUCGGAUCAGCCCAGCACUCGAUAGCAGCCAACUUACGGGAACGGUCUGGAAAGUCCGGCCAUAGAGGGUGAUAGCCCCUUACUGGAAAAGGCAGCUGCGGUACUAAGUGUGCGAUAAGUAGAGCGGGACACGUGACAUCCUGCUCGAAGAUGGGGGGACCAUCCUCCAAGGCUAAAUACUCGUGAUCGACCGAUAGCGUACCAGUACUGUGAAGGAAAGGUUAAAAGAACCCCGGGAGGGGAGUGAAAUAGAUCCUGAAACCGCAUACAUACAAACAGUAGGAGCCUCGUUAAGGGGUGACUGCGUACCUUUUGCAUAAUGGGUCAGCGACUUACGUUUAAUGGCGAGCUUAACCGUAUAGGGGAGGCGCAGCGAAAGCGAGUUCGAACAGAGCGUUCAGUCGUUAGGCGUAGACCCGAAACCAGAUGAUCUAUCCAUGGCCAGGUUGAAGGUGUGGUAACACACACUGGAGGACCGAACCGACUAGUGUUGCAAAAUUAGCGGAUGAGCUGUGGAUAGGGGUGAAAGGCUAAACAAAUCUGGAGAUAGCUGGUUCUCCCCGAAAACUAUUGAGGUAGUGCCUCGUGUAUGACUCCAGGGGGUAGAGCACUGUUAUGGCUAGGGGGACAUGGCGUCUUACCAAACCAUGGCAAACUCCGAAUACUUGGAAGUUUGAGCACGGGAGACAGAGCACCGGGUGCUAACGUCCGGACUCAAGAGGGAAACAACCCAGACCGCCGGCUAAGGUCCCUAAUAUUGACUAAGUGGAAAACGAAGUGGAAAGGCUAAGACAGUCAGGAAGUUGGCUUAGAAGCAGCCAUCCUUCAAAGAAAGCGUAAUAGCUCACUGAUCGAGUCUUUCUGCGCGGAAGAUGUAACGGGGCUAAGUCAAUAACCGAAGCCGCGGAUUCACACUUGUGUGUGAGUGGUAGGGGAGCGUUCUGUAAGCCUGCGAAGGUGACUCGUAAGGGUUGCUGGAGGUAUCAGAAGUGCGAAUGCUGACAUGAGUAACGUUAAAGCGGGUGAAAAGCCCGCUCGCCGUAAGCCCAAGGUUUCCUGCUCUACGUUCAUCGGAGCAGGGUGAGUCGGCCCCUAAGGUGAGGCUGAGAAGCGUAACUGAUGGGAACAAGGUUAAUAUUCCUUGACCACCGCUGAAUGCGAAGGGGGGACGGAGUAUUGAAGAUCAUCCGGGUGUUGGAUAUCCCGGUUUGCGAGCGUAGGAGGCUGACAGGCAAAUCCGUCAGCGAAUCUCCGAGGCGAAGCAUCGAGCUCUCUUUUGAGCGAAGUGAUUGGAUGUGCUUCCAGGAAAAGCCUCUAAGCUCCAGUUCAGCGGGACCGUACCGCAAACCGACACUGGUGGGCGAGCUGAAUAUGCUCAGGCGCUUGAGAGAACUCAGGAGAAGGAACUCGGCAAAUUGACACCGUAACUUCGGGAUAAGGUGUGCCUUUGUAGCGUGGAGGGAGAAACACCCCGAGCGCGAAGAGGUCUCAGAUAAUCGGUGGCUGCGACUGUUUAUUAAAAACACAGCACUCUGCAAAGACGAAAGUCGACGUAUAGGGUGUGAUGCCUGCCCGGUGCUGGAAGAUUAAUUGAUGGGGUGCAAGCUCCUGAUCGAAGUCCCAGUAAACGGCGGCCGUAACUAUAACGGUCCUAAGGUAGCGAAAUUCCUUGUC
rnacentral:rRNA from 1 species